rnacentral:rRNA from 1 species
UACGUAGGGUGCAAGCGUUAAUCGGAAUUACUGGGCGUAAAGCGUGCGCAGGCGGUUUUGUAAGUCUGUCGUGAAAUCCCCGGGCUCAACCUGGGAAUUGCGAUGGAGACUGCAAGGCUAGAAUCUGGCAGAGGGGGGUAGAAUUCCACGUGUAGCAGUGAAAUGCGUAGAGAUGUGGAGGAACACCGAUGGCGAAGGCAGCCCCCUGGGUCAAUACUGACGCUCAGGCACGAAAGCGUGGGGAGCAAACAGG